CCCUUAGAUGUCCUGGGCCGCACGCGCGCUACACUGAGUGUCUGAGAUACGAGUCUGCCUGGUCCGGCAAGGUCUAGGUAAUCGCUAAAAGACACAUCAUGCUUGGGAUAGAUUAUUGCAAAUAUUAAUCUUGAACGAGGAAUUCCUAGUAAGCGCAAGUCAACAGCUUGCGUUGAUUACGUCCCUGCCCUUUGUACACACCGCCCGUCGCUACUACUGAUUGGGUGUUUAAGCGAGGUUCUCGAACUGCUAGCGACUUAGCUUCGGUGAGGUCGCAGUGUGGGAAGUGAACCUAGCUUUGGUGUCUAGAGGAAGUAAAAGUCGUAACA
rnacentral:rRNA from 1 species